CGCGUAGGCGGGCCGCCAGGCCCGCGGUGAAAUCCCCCGGCUCAACCGGGGAAGUGCCGCGGGGACCGGCGGUCUGGAGUGAGAUAGGGGCGUGCGGAACUGUGGGUGGAGCGGUGAAAUGCGUUGAUAUCCACAGGAACUCCGGUGGCGAAGGCGGCACGCUGGAUCUCUACUGACGCUGAGGCGCGAAAGCCAGGGGAGCGAACG
rnacentral:rRNA from 1 species